rnacentral:rRNA from 1 species
CCUACGGGAGGCAGCAGUGAGGAAUAUUGGUCAAUGGCCGCAGGGCUGAACCAGCCAAGUCGCGUGAGGGAUGACGGUCCUAUGGAUUGUAAACCUCUUUUGUCAGGGAGCAAAGGGCGCCACGUGUGGCGCUUUGCGAGUACCUGAAGAAAAAGCAUCGGCUAACUCCGUGCCAGCAGCCGCGGUAAUACGGAGGAUGCGAGCGUUAUCCGGAUUUAUUGGGUUUAAAGGGUGCGCAGGCGGAAUGUCAAGUCAGCGGUAAAAUUUCGGGGCUCAACCCCGUCGUGCCGUUGAAACUGGUGUUCUUGAGUGAGCGAGAAGUAUGCGGAAUGCGUGGUGUAGCGGUGAAAUGCAUAGAUAUCACGCAGAACUCCGAUUGCGAAGGCAGCAUACCGGCGCUCAACUGACGCUCAUGCACGAAAGCGUGGGUAUCGAACAGGAUUAGAUACCCCAGUAGUC